GUAGUGCAUUGGAAACUGGGAGUCUUGAGUACUGAAGAGGAGACUGGAACACCAUGUGUAGCGGUGAAAUGCGUAGAUAUAUGGAAGAACACCAGUGGCGAAAGCGGCUCUCUGGUCUGUAACUGACGCUGAGGUUCGAAAGCGUGGGUAGCAAACAGG
rnacentral:rRNA from 1 species